GCUUGUAUCUGAUAUUCUUUAUUGUUCUGUUUUAAAGAACUUUUUGUUAUAUAUCAUGAACCAAUAUUCGAACAAUCACUGAUCAUGAAUGCAUGCAAUACAUUUAUUAAAUAAUUUCGUUUGUUGGCAUUCUAAAUUUUAUUAAUGUAUGUUAGUGAUGGAGUUGGAGCAUGGCAAUGAUUUUGUCGUUGCAGAUACAACAAGUGAUUCUUCAAUUUCACCGGAUAAGAAAAGAAAAAAGUUACUAAAUUCACAGACUUUCAGACGUGAUAAAGG